CUAACAGGCAACUGAAUGUUGGACACACUGCCAGCCUGGUCCAAUUAAGAAACAUUAGAAGUCUAAUGACUUAAAGAGGAACGGUUCACACAGGACACAAGGUUCUUGACAGCAGCCAAGCAAAUUGCAAAGUCUCCAGCUCAGUGGGCAGGGUGGAGACCAAGAGAAGAUGACCAGAAUUUGGGGCUGUACCAUGUCUUUUUUCUGUCUUUGAAAUAGUAUGUGGUAAAUAUGUCUAAACUCCUCACUUGUCAUAAGUUCCAAGGAGGAUAAAGGAAGCCAGCAGCCCGCAGAACCAGCAGUUCUGCAACCUCACCAGAACCCAAUCAUGCUGACACCCUGAUCUUAGACUUCGCGCCUCUAGAACUGUGAAAAAAAAAUUAUGUUGUUGGUAAACCACUCAUUCUCUAGUGCUUUGGAACAGCAGCCCAAGCUGACUAAGACACUGUCUAUCUAUGUAUCAAAAAUCAAAUGGUUGUCAUAAGUAUACUGUUAACAUGUUUAUUUGAACUAAAAUGUGAAGUCAAUUGUUUUUUCUAAUAUCUGAUCAUUAAAUAUAAUUUGGGCCAUAAAACUCAAAAGUAAUUUAAAUGCUUCGAUUUGACUGAUUGACUUGACAAUAUGAAAUGGCUUUGCCAAUCAGAGGAUGAAUAUUUUCCAGAAGUUGAAUGAGUUAAAUCUUCAAUUAUAAAGUUGUUCUAAAAUAUAUUUAAGAUAUAUAAGAUAAAAGCAUUUUGCCAAAAAUAUUGCAUUCACAAUAUUGUAUUAUAUUGAAAUUAACAUUAGCGCUGUUGUGAUUUACCCAACUCUGAGUAUACUUAGAUAAACAUAAUGCGUCAGAGAAAAAGAGUAACAAGUAUAAUUAAUAUUCAUUUGAUACAGGUCUAAACCCACUUUGGUCUAAUUUCUAGAAACUGAAGAUUAAAUAAUAAAUUAUUUUGCAAGCAAUUUUGUUUCCAAGUCUCAGCUUUCAGCAAAACUGAAGAACCUCACCUAGUUGUCAGCUGAUCAUAAAAUUUAAUUUGGGGCAUGUAAUUCA